UGACAUAAGUAACGAUAAAGCGGGUGAAAAGCCCGCUCGCCGGAAGACCAAGGGUUCCUGUCCAACGUUAAUCGGGGCAGGGUGAGUCGACCCCUAAGGCGAGGCCGAAAGGCGUAGUCGAUGGGAAACAGGUUAAUAUUCCUGUACUUGGUGUUACUGCGAAGGGGGGACGGAGAAGGCUAUGUUGGCCGGGCGACGGUUGUCCCGGUUUAAGCGUGUAGGCUGGUUUUCCAGGCAAAUCCGGAAAAUCAAGGCUGAGGCGUGAUGACGAGGCACUACGGUGCUGAAGCAACAAAUGCCCUGCUUCCAGGAAAAGCCUCUAAGCAUCAGGUAACAUCAAAUCGUACCCCAAACCGACACAGGUGGUCAGGUAGAGAAUACCAAGGCGCUUGAGAGAACUCGGGUGAAGGAACUAGGCAAAAUGGUGCCGUAACUUCGGGAGAAGGCACGCUGAUAUGUAGGUGAAGUCCCUCGCGGAUGGAGCUGAAAUCAGUCGAAGAUACCAGCUGGCUGCAACUGUUUAUUAAAAACACAGCACUGUGCAAACACGAAAGUGGACGUAUACGGUGUGACGCCUGCCCGGUGCCGGAAGGUUAAUUGAUGGGGUUAGCGCAAGCGAAGCUCUUGAUCGAAGCCCCGGUAAACGGCGGCCGUAACUAUAACGGUCCUAAGGUAGCGAAAUUCCUUGUCGGGUAAGUUCCGACCUGCACGAAUGGCGUAAUGAUGGCCAGGCUGUCUCCACCCGAGACUCAGUGAAAUUGAACUCGCUGUGAAGAUGCAGUGUACCCGCGGCAAGACGGAAAGACCCCGUGAACCUUUACUAUAGCUUGACACUGAACAUUGAGCCUUGAUGUGUAGGAUAGGUGGGAGGCUUUGAAGUGUGGACGCCAGUCUGCAUGGAGCCGACCUUGAAAUACCACCCUUUAAUGUUUGAUGUUCUAACGUUGACCCGUAAUCCGGGUUGCGGACAGUGUCUGGUGGGUAGUUUGACUGGGGCGGUCUCCUCCUAAAGAGUAACGGAGGAGCACGAAGGUUGGCUAAUCCUGG
rnacentral:rRNA from 1 species